rnacentral:ribozyme from 1 species
UGCCCAGCAACUCCUAUCCCUUCCUCCUCGUGGUUCUGGCCGGGGUACGAGUAACCUUGGGGAAGA